UGGGGAAUAUUGGACAAUGGGCGCAAGCCUGAUCCAGCAAUGCCGCGUGUGUGAAGAAGGCCUUCGGGUUGUAAAGCACUUUUUAUCAGGAGCGAAACGCUGUCGGCUAAUACCCGGCGGAACUGACGGUACCUGAGGAAUAAGCACCGGCUAACUUCGUGCCAGCAGCCGCGGUAAUACGAAGGGUGCAAGCGUUAAUCGGAAUUACUGGGCGUAAAGCGUGCGUAGGCGGUUUCUUAAGUCUGCUGUGAAAUCCCCGGGCUCAACCUGGGAAUGGCAGUGGAUACUGGGAGGCUAGAGUGUGUCAGAGGGUGGUGGAAUUCCCGGUGUAGCGGUGAAAUGCGUAGAGAUCGGGAGGAACAUCAGUGGCGAAGGCGGCCACCUGGGACAACACUGGACGCAUGAGGGCACGAAAAGCGUGGGGGAGCAAACAGGAUUAGAUACCCUGGUAGUCCACGCCCUAAAGCGAUGCGAACUGGAUGUUGGUCUCAACUCGGAGAUCAGUGUCGGAAGCUAACGCGUUAAGUUCGCCGCCCUGGGGAGUACGGUCGCAAGACUGGAAACUUAAAGGAAUUGACGGGGUCAUAGCUGUUUCC
rnacentral:rRNA from 1 species